ACUCCUGCGGGAGGCAGCAGUGAGGAAUAUUGGACAAUGGGUGGAAGCCUGAUCCAGCCAUCCCGCGUGCAGGAAGACGGCCCUAUGGGUUGUAAACUGCUUUUAUCUGGGGAUAAACCUACUUACGUGUAAGUAGCUGAAGGUACCAGAAGAAUAAGCACCGGCUAACUCCGUGCCAGCAGCCGCGGUAAUACGGAGGGUGCAAGCGUUAUCCGGAUUUAUUGGGUUUAAAGGGUCCGUAGGCGGACUGAUAAGUCAGUGGUGAAAUCCGACAGCUUAACUGUCGAACUGCCAUUGAUACUGUUAGUCUUGAGUAAGGUUGAAGUGGCUGGAAUAGGUAGUGUAGCGGUGAAAUGCAUAGAUAUUACUUAGAACACCAAUUGCGAAGGCAGGUCACUAAGUCUUAACUGACGCUGAUGGACGAAAGCGUGGGGAGCGAACAGGAUUAGAAACCCCGGUAGUCCCAUGAU
rnacentral:rRNA from 1 species